UACGUAGGGUGCAAGCGUUGUCCGGAAUUAUUGGGCGUAAAGAGCUCGUAGGCGGUUUGUCGCGUCGGCUGUGAAAACUCGGGGCUCAACCCCGAGCCUGCAGUCGAUACGGGCAGACUAGAGUGCUGUAGGGGAGACUGGAAUUCCUGGUGUAGCGGUGAAAUGCGCAGAUAUCAGGAAGAACACCCGUGGCGAAAGCGGCUCUCUGGGACGGUACUGACGCUGAGACGCGAAGGCGUGGGGAGCGAACGGG
rnacentral:rRNA from 1 species